CGAUUGGUCUUUCGCCCCUAUACUCAAUUCUGACAAUCGAUUUGCACGUCAGAACUGUUUCGGUCUUCCAUCAGGGUUUCCCCUGACUUCAACCUGAUCAAGUAUAGUUCACCAUCUUUCGGGUCACAGCAUAUAUGCUCAAGGUACGCUCUAGUUAGAGGUAUAAAUAAUAUAUAAAAUAUUAUUAUACAUAACUGUAUAGAACGCCCUGGGAUUGUAUUAUUAAAAAUUUACAAUUUUAAAAAUUAAUCCCAUUUUUAAAAAAAUAGUUAUGUUAAUUAUGCUUUUGGGUUUUAUAUAUAUAACCCAAAAACUUGCACAUAUGUUAGACUCCUUGGUCCGUGUUUCAAGACGGGUCCUGAAGGUAUCCUGAAUCUUUCGCAUUGUAAAUCGUAUAAAUGCAUAUAAUAAAAAAAAAAAAAUUUUUUUUUAUUAUAAAAUUUCAAAUAAAUGAAAAUUUUGCACAAUACAUUUGAAUAAAUCUAUUAAUACUUUAUCAAAUCAAAAGUAAUUACUUUAUAUUAAUAAAAUAUAAAUUAAAUUAAUUAAAAUAAACAUAUACAAUUGAUCUUAUGAUAAAUAUAUAAUUUAAUAUAUUAAUAGAUUACAAUGUCCAUUUUUAUAUGGAGAAAAUGCACAAUAUUACAAUAAUAAAAAUCAUUGUCAUAAUGUUGAAUUCUCCAUAUUGGAUAUUCAGGUUCAUCAGGUUUAAUCUCUAAGCAGUUUCACGUACUAUUUAACUCUCUAUUCAGAGUUCUUUUCAACUUUCCCUCACGGUACUUGUUUACUAUCGGUCUCAUGGUUAUAUUUAGUUUUAGAUGGAGUUUACCACCAACUUAGUGCUGCACUAUCAAGCAACACGACUCUUUGGAAAUAUCUUCUAAUAAUCAUUAAUGUUAUACGGGCCUGGCACCCUCUAUGGGUAAAUGGCCUCAUUUAAGAAGGACUUAAAUCAUUAAUUUAUCAUACUAGAUAAAAAUAGAUAUUCCAUACACUGCAUCUCACAAUUACUAUUAAUAGAAAUGUGACUUAGUGCUGAACUUUUUUCUUUUCGUUCGCCACUA
rnacentral:rRNA from 1 species